rnacentral:lncRNA from 1 species
UUUGCCCUGGCUAAAGCCUCGGCCUUUUCUUUUUUAUCUUUUUCUUCUUCUCCUCUCCUCAGCGCAUCAGGAGCAAAUAACCUUCCACUGCGAGUAAAACCGCUGGGACCGGCAUUAUCCACCUUUAGCACAGUGGUUUCACUUGCAGAUUGCUCUUCUAUCUUCUCCCCAUUACAGUAUACUUCCCCACCAUAAUGCCACGGCACGGCAUCAUCUUUGUCGUAGGGAAUUG